GUGAGGUAACGGCCCACCAAGGCGACGACGGGUAGCUGGUCUGAGAGGAUGUCCAGCCACACUGGGACUGAGACACGGCCCAGACUCCUACGGGAGGCAGCAGUGGGGAAUCUUGCGCAAUGGGCGAAAGCCUGACGCAGCGAUGCCGCGUGCGGGAUGAAGGCCUUCGGGUUGUAAACCGCUUUCAGCAGGGACGAAAUUGACGGUACCUGCAGAAGAAGCCCCGGCCAACUACGUGCCAGCAGCCGCGGUAAUACGUAGGGGGCGAGCGUUGUCCGGAUUUAUUGGGCGUAAAGAGCUCGUAGGCGGUUUGUCGCGUCUGGUGUGAAAACUCGAGGCUCAACCUCGAGCUUGCAUCGGGUACGGGCAGACUAGAGUGCGGUAGGGGAGACUGGAAUUCCUGGUGUAGCGGUGGAAUGCGCAGAUAUCAGGAGGAACACCGAUGGCGAAGGCAGGUCUCUGGGCCGCAACUGACGCUGAGGAGCGAAAGCAUGGGGAGCGAACAGGAUUAGAUACCCUGGUAGUCCAUGCCGUAAACGUUGGGCACUAGGUGUGGGGCUCAUUCCACGAGUUCCGUGCCGCAGCAAACGCAUUAAGUG
rnacentral:rRNA from 1 species